UACAGAGGGGGCAAGCGUUGUUCGGAAUUACUGGGCGUAAAGGGCGCGUAGGCGGCCCGCUAAGUCGAACGUGAAAUCCCCGGGCUCAACCCGGGAACUGCGUCCGAUACUGGUGGGCUUGAAUCCGGGAGAGGGAUGCGGAAUUCCAGGUGUAGCGGUGAAAUGCUUAGAGAUGACAUAGAAUACCUAUUGCGAAGGCAGCUUACUACGCAGAUAUUGACGCUCAUGCACGAAAGCGUGGGGAUCAAACAGG
rnacentral:rRNA from 1 species